CAACAGGGUUAUACAUAUAUAUGAUCAACACAUUAUAUUUGCUUUCUCUUAAAGUACCACAGAAAAAAGAUGUGUGGCGGUGCCAUUAUUUUCGACUUCGUUGAUCUGAAACGUGGCCGGAAAUUGACAGCGGAAGACUUGCGGUCGGAACUUGAGAGACCAAUUUAGGCCUCUUGGGCUUGGACUACGCUAAAUAGUUUGAAGCUCAAAAGCCUGACCAAGUGAGGAAUGACAAUGGUGAAAAGAAAGAGGCACAUGGAGGAUUAACCUAACACUCAAUGGGCUCGGAAGCACGUGUACAGAGGAAAAAGGCAGAGGCCAUGGGGGAAGUGGGCAGCUGGAAUCAAAGAUCCUCACAAAAGAGCCCGAGUCCGGCUUGGUACCUACAACACAGCCGAAGAAGCCGCCAGAGCCUACGAUGAAGCCGCCAAGCGCAUACGUGGCGACAAGGCCAAGCUCAACUUUCUUGAACAAUCACCACCUCAAGUUAAACCUCCGUCUAAUUAUUGAAAAAAAGACUCAUUUGAAUUUGUCAAACUCAGCUCGUGAUCGAACUCGUUGAGCCUACUUGAGCCAAAUUCACGAGUAGCUUGGCUCAUGAACGAGCCAAAUUCGAAUAUUGAAUUUUUGGUUUGUUGAGCCUAAGCUUGGGCUUGAACUCUUUUCAACAGUAACCGAAUUGAGUUUGAGUUUGGUUGAGUUGAAGCUCAAUUCGGUUCGAAUCUAAUCUUGAUAUCCGUGUCUUAAGAAACGAUCAUUCACUAUUUUGGGAAUGUAUGUUUAUCCUUUGUUACUUUGAACCUUUAAUAUUGUCUUUUUUAUGACUAUUAAUCUACUUGAGGUGUUUUCGUCUUGUUUUAUA